UACGAAGGGGGCUAGCGUUGCUCGGAAUCACUGGGCGUAAAGGGCGCGUAGGCGGUCCGGUAAGCGCGUGGUGAAAGCCCGGGCUCAACCCCGGGUCGGCCGUGCGGACUGCGGGACUCGAGCACUGUAGAGGCGGGCGGAAUUCCGGGUGUAGCGGUGGAAUGCGUAGAUAUCGGAAGGAACAUCAGUGGCGAAAGCGACUUCCUGGACCAAUACUGACGCUCAUGUGCGAAAGCGUGGGGAGCAACAGG
rnacentral:rRNA from 1 species